rnacentral:rRNA from 1 species
CACGUAGGGUGCGAGCGUUGUCCGGAAUUAUUGGGCGUAAAGAGCUCGUAGGCGGUGUGUCGCGUCGGCCGUGAAAACCUGCAGCUUAACUGUGGGCUUGCGGUCGAUACGGGCAUCACUGGAGUUCGGCAGGGGAGACUGGAAUUCCUGGUGUAGCGGUGAAAUGCGCAGAUAUCAGGAGGAACACCGGUGGCGAAGGCGGCUCUCUGGGACGGUACUGACGCUGAGACGCGAAAGCGUGGGGAGCAAACAGG